ACUGGCUCCAGUGCUUCAUACUUUCAAUGACAGCAGAGAGAAUUCUCAGAGUGUUGCCUUUUUCUUUCAGCUUGGAGUAAAGCACCGGCCCUUUCUUUUGUAAGGAGACAAAGGAAAAGGUCAGAAUAGAUUCGGGUCCCCCAAGUGGCCAUGGUGUCCGGACUGACCUUCCGAGGAGGCGGAGCUUGCGUGGGCCAUACUUGUCCAUCACGAUGCCCAGUGGGAGGGUGAUGGCGCUCAGCAGGAAGGAGCCCACCGUGAAGGCCAGGUUCAACAUCUCGUCCUGCUCCUUGCAGAUCAGCCAGCCGUUCAUCCGGGUCACCGGCACCUCCUCCGCCAUGGCCACCCUCUCCGUCUGGUUGCUGUCACUGGAGCUUGCCCCAUCCAUGGCACUUGGGGAAGCAUUCGCUAUGGUGAGAAAUACAAGGAAUGGUCAGUGCAAGGACGGUGUAGUCAUAAAACUCAACUAGGGAGAUAAGUUUAUCCACAACCAGGGAAACUGUGACCACCACCAAUGAUGGGCCUGGUUCAAACUUGGCAUACAGAAUCCCCAUGACUAACUCAACCAACUCCCACGAUUCACCAUCGUGGGAGUUGUAGUUUACCCUACAUCAAGAGAGCAUACUGAACCCAACUGAUGAUGCAUCCAGAGCAAACUUGCCCAAUAAAACAAACUUUUGUACAGAUGGA